GUUAAGCGACUAAGCGUACACGGUGGAUGCCCUGGCAGUCAGAGGCGAUGAAGGACGUGCUAAUCUGCGAUAAGCGUCGGUGAGGUGAUAUGAACCGUUAUAACCGGCGAUUUCCGAAUGGGGAAACCCAGUGUGUUUCGACACACUAUCAUUAACUGAAUCCAUAGGUUAAUGAGGCGAACCGGGGGAACUGAAACAUCUAAGUACCCCGAGGAAAAGAAAUCAACCGAGAUUCCCCCAGUAGCGGCGAGCGAACGGGGAGGAGCCCAGAGCCUGAAUCAGUGUGUGUGUUAGUGGAAGCGUCUGGAAAGGCGCGCGAUACAGGGUGACAGCCCCGUACACAAAAAUGCACAUAUUGUGAGCUCGAUGAGUAGGGCGGGACACGUGGUAUCCUGUCUGAAUAUGGGGGGACCAUCCUCCAAGGCUAAAUACUCCUGACUGACCGAUAGUGAACCAGUACCGUGAGGGAAAGGCGAAAAGAACCCCGGCGAGGGGAGUGAAAAAGAACCUGAAACCGUGUACGUACAAGCAGUGGGAGCCUCUUUAUGGGGUGACUGCGUACCUUUUGUAUAAUGGGUCAGCGACUUAUAUUCUGUAGCAAGGUUAACCGAAUAGGGGAGCCGAAGGGAAACCGAGUCUUAACUGGGCGUUAAGUUGCAGGGUAUAGACCCGAAACCCGGUGAUCUAGCCAUGGGCAGGUUGAAGGUUGGGUAACACUAACUGGAGGACCGAACCGACUAAUGUUGAAAAAUUAGCGGAUGACUUGUGGCUGGGGGUGAAAGGCCAAUCAAACCGGGAGAUAGCUGGUUCUCCCCGAAAGCUAUUUAGGUAGCGCCUCGUGAAUUCAUCUCCGGGGGUAGAGCACUGUUUCGGCAAGGGGGUCAUCCCGACUUACCAACCCGAUGCAAACUGCGAAUACCGGAGAAUGUUAUCACGGGAGACACACGGCGGGUGCUAACGUCCGUCGUGAAGAGGGAAACAACCCAGACCGCCAGCUAAGGUCCCAAAGUCAUGGUUAAGUGGGAAACGAUGUGGGAAGGCCCAGACAGCCAGGAUGUUGGCUUAGAAGCAGCCAUCAUUUAAAGAAAGCGUAAUAGCUCACUGGUCGAGUCGGCCUGCGCGGAAGAUGUAACGGGGCUAAACCAUGCACCGAAGCUGCGGCAGCGACACUAUGUGUUGUUGGGUAGGGGAGCGUUCUGUAAGCCUGUGAAGGUGGCCUGUGAGGGUUGCUGGAGGUAUCAGAAGUGCGAAUGCUGACAUAAGUAACGAUAAAGCGGGUGAAAAGCCCGCUCGCCGGAAGACCAAGGGUUCCUGUCCAACGUUAAUCGGGGCAGGGUGAGUCGACCCCUAAGGCGAGGCCGAAAGGCGUAGUCGAUGGGAAACAGGUUAAUAUUCCUGUACUUGGUGUUACUGCGAAGGGGGGACGGAGAAGGCUAUGUUGGCCGGGCGACGGUUGUCCCGGUUUAAGCGUGUAGGCUGGUUUUCCAGGCAAAUCCGGAAAACCAAGGCUGAGGCGUGAUGACGAGGCACUACGGUGCUGAAGCGACAAAUGCCCUGCUUCCAGGAAAAGCCUCUAAGCAUCAGGUAACAUCAAAUCGUACCCCAAACCGACACAGGUGGUCAGGUAGAGAAUACCAAGGCGCUUGAGAGAACUCGGGUGAAGGAACUAGGCAAAAUGGUGCCGUAACUUCGGGAGAAGGCACGCUGAUAUGUAGGUGAAGCGACUUGCUCGUGGAGCUGAAAUCAGUCGAAGAUACCAGCUGGCUGCAACUGUUUAUUAAAAACACAGCACUGUGCAAACACGAAAGUGGACGUAUACGGUGUGACGCCUGCCCGGUGCCGGAAGGUUAAUUGAUGGGGUUAGCGGUAACGCGAAGCUCUUGAUCGAAGCCCCGGUAAACGGCGGCCGUAACUAUAACGGUCCUAAGGUAGCGAAAUUCCUUGUCGGGUAAGUUCCGACCUGCACGAAUGGCGUAAUGAUGGCCAGGCUGUCUCCACCCGAGACUCAGUGAAAUUGAACUCGCUGUGAAGAUGCAGUGUACCCGCGGCAAGACGGAAAGACCCCGUGAACCUUUACUAUAGCUUGACACUGAACAUUGAGCCUUGAUGUGUAGGAUAGGUGGGAGGCUUUGAAGUGUGGACGCCAGUCUGCAUGGAGCCGACCUUGAAAUACCACCCUUUAAUGUUUGAUGUUCUAACGUUGGCCCGUAAUCCGGGUUGCGGACAGUGUCUGGUGGGUAGUUUGACUGGGGCGGUCUCCUCCUAAAGAGUAACGGAGGAGCACGAAGGUUGGCUAAUCCUGGUCGGACAUCAGGAGGUUAGUGCAAUGGCAUAAGCCAGCUUGACUGCGAGCGUGACGGCGCGAGCAGGUGCGAAAGCAGGUCAUAGUGAUCCGGUGGUUCUGAAUGGAAGGGCCAUCGCUCAACGGAUAAAAGGUACUCCGGGGAUAACAGGCUGAUACCGCCCAAGAGUUCAUAUCGACGGCGGUGUUUGGCACCUCGAUGUCGGCUCAUCACAUCCUGGGGCUGAAGUAGGUCCCAAGGGUAUGGCUGUUCGCCAUUUAAAGUGGUACGCGAGCUGGGUUUAGAACGUCGUGAGACAGUUCGGUCCCUAUCUGCCGUGGGCGCUGGAGAACUGAGGGGGGCUGCUCCUAGUACGAGAGGACCGGAGUGGACGCAUCACUGGUGUUCGGGUUGUCAUGCCAAUGGCACUGCCCGGU
rnacentral:rRNA from 1 species